CAUGGGGUUGCAAAGAGUCCGACACGACUGAGCAACUGAACUGAACUGAGUGUAAUAUUUGUAAGUAUGUUGCAAGUAUAAGAAACAUAUGUUAGCAUUUAAAUGUAGUGCAAGGGCUCCUGAAAGCCUCCUCUCUGGUCCUUAGUCAUUGGAGUUCCUCAGAGAAGCAGCUGUUUUUAAAGAGUGUCCAAAAAAAUUUAAAAAACAGUGUCCCAGAAUCUAUCCCAGGAAGUUAAUGAGGCACCCCAAGUAAAGUGACUUCCCAGUAGACCCCAAGGAUCAGCCAGAUUUGGGGUGCCCCAGACCUCUGACAGCCUUACUGGAGGUACCCCAAGCAGUCAACUGUUGAUACUGCAGAUGCAAACAACAGUGCGUUUUUCUCUGCAGUCUGGAUGGGUGUCUUUUCCACACUGAGCCUUCUAAUUAGGGGUGGCCUGGGCAGAGGAGCACAGCCUGUCCUCUGGGCUGUUGCAGACAUACCCAGUUGGGUCUUUCUAGACUUUUCCCUUAUAGAUUAUUACAAAAUACUGAGUGCUAAACAGUAGGUUCUCAUUGUUUACUUAUUUUAUACAUAGUAGCAAGUGAGUCUUUUGAUUUUAAACAUAUAUUUAUUUGGCUUCACUGAGCCAUGUGAGAUCUUUAGUUGCGGCAUGUGGGAUCUAGUCCCUGCCCAGGGAUGGAGCAUGAGCACCCUGUACUGGGAGCUCGGCGUUUUAGCCACUGAACCAGCAAGCAAGUCCCAGUUGUCUUUUGAUGCUGGUCUGGCGCGGUUUCCGCUUGACUCCCUGUGUCGCCAUUUCUGUGAGUCCUCUAGUUACAAGGCUUCUGAAUAGCAGCUCCCGAGGCUGCACUCAGUCUCCCGCUGGCCCGACUGUCCCCAGCCUGCCAGGAACACGCCUUUGUCCACGGCAUUCCUGCCUCAGGGUCGUGCGGCUCCGCACUUGCCCUCUCUGUUCUCAGGCCUGUCUGGGCAGUGGCUCUUUGCUGGUCAGUGCCUGUCUGUCCUGGUUAGACCUGCUCAUUUGUGCUGUUUCGUGACAACGAAGCAUCAAGUCUGUGAAAUAAGUAUCUCUUCUCAUCAGUGAUUGUUGGCAACCCCCCCCCACCCCCACCCCGCCACCCUUCCUCAGGCCAGGAACCUACCCUCUGCNNNNNNNNNNNNNNNNNNNNNNNNNNNNGGGGCUGCCUGUGACAUCCCCCCUCCGAGGCAUCCGAUGCCCCUGCACCUGUUGUGCUGACUUCUGGCCAUACUCACUUUGCCCCAGUUCCUGAGGGAUGUUGCUCAGAAUUUAACAUUCCUGCACCAAGGCAAGGCAUGUUCCCACCCUGGUUUCCCCUGAAGUGCCUGGGAGGCACUGGGAGGGCACAGGGAAGGCUGCCUGUGAGGAUGAGAAAAGUCCAACCAGGGACUUGCUUUUAGUGGCGUUCCACUGGAGAGUCAGGUCUUUGCUCAGACCUGCCCUCCCAU
rnacentral:lncRNA from 1 species